GCCGCUGCCUCUGCCUCUGUCUCUGCCUUUUCUCCACCGAAAUAAACUUUAAUGCGAGCCAUUCGUUUGGUUGUGGGCUCCGUCCGCUGUUUCUGCUGCUCUGUUAAAUUUCUGGUUAAAUUUUGUGCGCAGUCAGCUCGCGAUGCAGUUCGAAGCGGCCACUCAAACGGGGUUGGAGCUUGAAAUGUGGUAGAGUUGGGUUGGGUUGGGUUGGUUAAGGAUCGCUUAAAUGGGUUGAAUAUGGAUUGGGUUACGCAAGGGUUUGGGCAUUUAUUAGAAAUCAGUUUUUUUUUAGGGGAAUAUCUAUUGAUAUUUUGGAUCUCUGGCGAUACAGUUGGUCAGGCUUUAAUCCUUUGCGCAGUCUCGCAGCAAGCUCUAAUGUGAGGAAACCAAAAUUCAACAUUGCCGGACGGAAUGCUGGCUGCCUGCAUGCUGUUUAUAGUUUCCACUAUAAACCGUAUAUGAAUUUUGCCAUCGCUCGGUUUUUGGCACGCAAACGCACCGACCAACCAGCCAACCAGCCAACCAACCCAGCCAGCAGGCCAGGCCAAUACAACAACUAACGUCCUCGACAAGCCCCAGUCCAACAGUCGUCAGGCCGUCAUCCACUUUGGCCCCUCCACCGCUCCACCCUGGCACCCGUCCCUGGCACCACCAUUCGCUCGUUGGCCAUACAAUCUGAAAAUAUAGAAAAAGCAACAAAAACGCCGCCGACAUUUGGGAAGUUCGUUCGUUCGUUAGUAUCGCCAGAGCCAGAGCCUCGCACAGCAGAUAUGUAUGUAUGUACAAAUACGAACGAAAGCACCAACACACACAUACUAUUCUCGUAUACAGUCAUGCAACAACCGUACAUAUACAUACAAAUUUAUAUAUAGUCACCGAUACAGGCGCACUGGAAGCAACGACGGACGAAAUGCUCUAUAGAUAUAGAUAGAUAGGACCGCGUCGCGUCGGGGGCUGAUAAUGGGGGAUGGUUGGAUGUGGCUUAUAGGGAAGGUGAAAACAAAAGAUCUUUAGGGGAUAACUGCCAUGGAGGGAGGUUUCUGGAAGCAACAUUAAUUUCAUAAUAUUUACCACCAAAAUCUAAGGGGAUUCCUAAAUUUAAGAAAGAAUAUUGAGAAUUAUUUGUUUAAAAACAAAUGAAAUUUAGGUUUUGAAAACCUUGUAGUUGUUAGAAAGAUCUUAAAUAAUGGAUCAUGGAAUUAUUUUGAGGGACAGAUUGGAACAAUUGAACUAAUACUGAAAGUUAUCUCUCACGAAAGAUAAUGUUAAGUUGAUAUGGAUGAUGGUCAAUUUGGUCGAGUAUUUGGUUCUAUUCUAUACUCUUUAAAAGAUAUUCUGGAAAUAAUUAAAACUUAAAUUCGUCAUA
rnacentral:sRNA from 1 species